GACGAACGCUGGCGGCGUGCUUAACACAUGCAAGUCGAGCGGAAAGGCCACUUCGGUGGUACUCGAGCGGCGAACGGGUGAGUAACACGUGAGUAAUCUGCCCCUCACUUUGGGAUAGCCACCGGAAACGGUGAUUAAUACCGGAUAUGACCAUAUGUCGCAUGGCGUGUGGUGGAAAGUUUUUCGGUGAGGGAUGUGCUCGCGGCCUAUCAGCUUGAUGGUGAGGUAAUGGCUCACCAUGGCUUCGACGGGUAGCCGGCCUGAGAGGGUGACCGGUCACAUUGGGACUGAGACACGGCCCAGACUCCUACGGGAGGCAGCAGUGGGGAAUAUUGGACAAUGGGCGGAAGCCUGAUCCAGCAACGCCGCGUGAGGGAUGACGGCCUUCGGGUUGUAAACCUCUUUCAGUACCGACGAAGCGCAAGUGACGGUAGGUACAGAAGAAGCACCGGCCAACUACGUG
rnacentral:rRNA from 1 species